AUAUAUAGAUAAUUAUACAUUAUUAUUAUUGUAAUUAGUAAUGUUAUUAUUAUUAGUAUGGCUAGUCAUAUAUGUGUGAGUGCAUUAUUGAAUUAGAAAUAAGCUAUUUACACUUAGGCAUAUUGUUGUGAUAUGUAUGGAGAGAAGUUGACCAAUUCCACAUAAACUACAUGUAGGUUUAUAUAUGUUUAUUGUGUGCUUGGCUGAAGCUUUGGAGUGGUCUUAUACAUGUGGCAUUAAGUGAGAUUAUAGUGGAAUAAGAUGAAUACAUAGGCGUGACACAUGGUUUGUUGGGAUACAUUUGAGGAAUAGUUAGAGAAAUAAUAGCAUAAACAUUUGAAUUUCUGGUAGCCGAAGUGAAGUCCAAGAAUAUUACCAUUUGAAUUGCCUUUAGCUUUUCUCUCUCCACUUUUGACUAAAUCCAAAACAAUAUUUCCCAUGAAACGUAUAUAGGGCUUUCAAAUUGAAUUAGUCAAGUAUUAUGAUGAUUAGUUAAAUAGUUUUAUUAUAGCUUAACUCAAGGGUGGAGUAGGGUUAAACCAACAAGAGUUAAGUCCAAUCAAAGUCUAUAAAUAAGAGGCAUUUUUCCUUUUAAUCUCACAAACACAUCCAAGCAUACAUUGUAUCUCGUAGCUCACUUCAUCACUCUCUCUAAGUUUCAAAACCAAUAUCACCAAUUCAUCACUCUCAAAGAAUAAUAAUUCUAAACCCUUUACUCAUCCUAGGCCGAAGCCCACCAUCACCAACAUCUCUAAGUUCUUACCUUCAACAAACUUUUCCUCUUUCUCUCAUUGUUGUGUUUCUCUUCAAAACAAUAUAGCCAUAGUCCCGUAGCUACACGAUAGCACCAUCACUACAUCACCACCAUCCCCAUACAUAUAUACAUCUCCUUCAUUAUAUCGACAUCAGUAUCACCAUUAUUUUUACAUUCAAGUUUUAGUGCUCAACUAGAUCUCAUUUGAAGCUAAUUAAGGUUUCAUAAGAAAAUUAUUGUUUCUCAAGGAUCACUCUCAUUACAAUCAAGGCUAGAACUCCACAUUCGAGACCAAGGUAACUGAAAGUUUAGAAAGCCGGUGGCGAGUGGAACUUUGGAUGCUUGUGUGUGUGAACUCGCUGAGGGCCAUAUAACUGCGGGCGGUCUAGGGCGCUCUGUUUAUUUAUUUAUGUUAUUAAACUUAUGUCGCAAUUAUUUUAGUUAUUAAUUAUUAUGUUU